rnacentral:rRNA from 1 species
AUUGAACGCUGGCGGCAUGCCUUACACAUGCAAGUCGAACGGAGUGGCGGACGGGUGAGUAAUAUAUCGGAACCUGCCCAGUAGAGGGGGCUAACUACUGGAAACAGUGGCUAAUACCGCAUACUAUCGGAGGUGCCGAGAUGGGAUUAGCUGGUUGGUGGGGUAACGGCUCACCAAGGCAACGAUCCUUAGCUGGUCUGAGAGGACGACCAGCCACACUGGGACUGAGACACGGCCCAGACUCCUACGGGAGGCAGCAGUGGGGAAUAUUGUACAAUGGGGGAAAUCCUGAUCCAGCCAUCCCGCGUGUAUGAAGAAGGCCUUCGGGUUGUAAAGUACUUUUGGCAGAGAAGCGUUAUCUGCAGAAUAAGCACCGGCUAACUCCGUGCCAGCAGCCGCGGUAAUAC